GUAUACGGCCAGUCUUGAGGCAGGUAGAGGCAUCUGAACCUUUAGGUGGAGCGGUGAAAUGCGUAGAUAUCUAAGGGAACGCCUGUGGCGAAAGCGGGGUGCUGGGCCUGUCCUGACGCUGAGACGCGAAAGCGUAGGGAGCGAACGGGAUUAGAUACCCCGGUAGUCUACGCCGUAAACGAUGCGCACUAGGUACGGGGCCUUCUGACGGGAAUCGUGCCGAAGCAAAAGUGAUUAGUGCGCCGCCUGGGGAGUACGGCCGCAAGGCUAAAACUCAAAGGAAUUGACGGGGGCUCACACAAGCGGUGGAGCAUGUGGAUUAAUUCGAAGCAACGCGAAGAACCUUACCUGGGUUUGACAUGCUUGGAUGCCGUCCUGGAAACAGGAGCCGGCUGCCCUUCGGGGUGAAACUUGCACAGGUGUUGCAUGGCUGUCGUCAGCUCGUGCUGUGAAGUGUCGGGUUAAGUCCCUUAACGAGCGAAACCCCUGUCGCUAGUUGCCAGCGGUUCGGCCGGGGACUCUAGCGAGACCGCCGGCGUCAAGCCGGAGGAAGGUGGGGACGACGUCAAGUCAUCAUGGCCCUUAUGCCCAGGGUGUCACACGUGCUACAAUGGCGCGGCACAGAGCGACGCGAGACCGCGAGGUGGAGCAAAUCGCAAAAAACGCGCCUCAGUUCGGAUUGGGGUCUGCAACUCGACCCCAUGAAGCUGGAAUCGCUAGUAAUCGCGUAUCAGCCAUGACGCGGUGAAUAUGUUCCUGAGCCUUGUACACACCGCCCGUCAAGUCAUGGAAGCUGGGAAUACCCGAAGUCCCACCUACGCGUGGGCCGACGGUAGGCUCGGUGACUGGGACUAAGUCGUAACAAGGUAGCCGUAGGGGAACCUGCGGCUGGAUCACCU
rnacentral:rRNA from 1 species